GCCUAGUUAGCUCAGUUGGUAGUGCGUCUGCCUUGUAAGCGCUAGGCCGCGGGUUCGAUUCCCGCCCGGGGUG
rfam:Asian citrus Psyllid, Diaphorina citri - Florida Strain, whole genome shotgun sequence.